AUGGAGAUUUGGUGGAUUAUACGAACCCUACCUUUCUUGGCUUUGUUGUCUCCCUCCUCGAGUUUCUCAUCAGAACGGCAAAAUGAUUCAGAGGUCCCUGAGCUCUUAGCCCUACGAAUUAAACAUUUUGAGGAGGGCCAAGAUGCGUACUUAAGGUGCAGCAAUAAGACGUGGAAUAAUACUCUUCAUCAUAUCUGGAAAAUAAACAACAGUGGAGUCCAUUGUCUUAUAAGUGAAGCUGCUAACAAGCCCAGGCAUAACAACUGCACAGGAGGGAUGACACUCCGCAACACAACGAAAGGGGAGUUGUACCUGUAUAUUCCUCACUUCGGAAUCAAAGAUGAAGGGACAUACAAAUGUGAAGAGGUGUACAGAGGUGGUGCUGACGUAGCCAUCAUUACAGUUUUUGCUAGAGUCCCCCCUGUCCUCUCCACCAGACUAGAGCAUGACGGCGGUCAGCGGUUUGCUGUCUGUUCUGCUGCCCGUGGAAAACCAGAGGCCACAGUGUCCUGGGAGGAGGAGUGGUGGUCCCCUAAGGUCACUGAGAGGUCAACCAACAACACAGAUGGAACCGUCACCAUGGAGAGCUGGCUGCUCCUGCCUGAUGACAUCACCCAGGGCAACCUGACCUGUGUGGCCAGUCACGCCUCCUGGACCCAUAAGCAUUCUGUUGUCAUGGAGAUGACUGAUGGUUCAUUCACAUUGUUCAUCACUCUGUCAUCUAUCAUUGUACUAAGUGUGGUAAUUGUAACUGCUGUCAGCACAUACGUGUGCCUUAAAAUAAACGAAACGCAAUAAAACAAAUUAUUGGAUUUUCAUAGCAGAGGAGGGUGCCAGAUUUGUGUUGAGCAGAAUGUUAGCUAGGGACUUUACUGCGGGCAAGAAACAAGACACCCUCAUCAAAGGGCUCCUACAGAAAGAAAUCCACACAUCCCUCUCAAUGAUCAAUGAGCUUGCAAUAUAAAGAGAGCUGUUUUACUAUCUUUAGAAGUGUGCUUCAAGUGGCAAAAGAGAGCUAAGAGAUAUAUUUGCUGUUUAUUGAUUCAAAUAACUCCAUUAAACUCUGUUCACAUCAAGUCAUUCAUUAGAUUUUGUGUGGACACACAUACUGGUAUUAUAUUUCUGUAUCCAAAACAAACAAAACAAACACACAUAAACAAACUUCAAUAUAAUGACAGACAAAAUGCACAUAUCAAAACAUUAAAAAGGUGAACAUUUGGAUGUAAAUAAAUUAAACAGAAAAAAUGCA
rnacentral:lncRNA from 1 species